ACUGGGGUGCUGGUCGCGGAUCUGCUGCACCUCCUUACAGCGGUCGGCUGCGGACAGAGCUCUGUGUGAGGCCCAGCGGUGCUGAGGCCUCCCGCGACUCCGCCUCGCUGAUCCCCGAGGGGCGGCUCCCGGCCCGCCCCGCCCCAGCGCCCGCCCCCGGGGCCGUCGGCCCCGCAGCCCUCCACCGGGGGGACGCGGUAGGGAGGCGGGCGACCCUGCCAGGCCUUGCGGCCUCUCCACCCGGGGUCCGGCCGGCCGGUGCCUGACGUCAUGGGGCUGACGUCACCUGCGGCAAUCGGGGUCGACUGGCACCCCCAUCCCUCGAUCCCCGAUGGCAGUUCGCCCCCCAGGGCCUCACCGAAGCUGCGCCGCUGCUUGAAAGGCCGGUCGGAGGGCAUCGCGCGGGCCCGGCGGGGCGCGCAGCCGGGGCUCCGGGGUGCGCGGCUCAGAGAUGCGUCUGCGGUUCGGCGCGCCGGGGGCUCCGGGGCUCGAGCUCAAGGGCUGCGGGGCUCGCGCUGAGCCUGGCGGUGGCGGCUGCGGGAGGUAACUCGCCUGGGUGACGUCAGGUCACAACAUUCCUUAAAGGGGAGGCCGGCGCGCCGCUCCCAUUGGGCCGACGGAAAACCCGCCUGCCUGGACCUGUGACGCCACGGCGCAGACAGCCCGGAUUCCCGGCGCAGGUCGUAAGGAGGCGGAGCUCCAGGGCGCGUCACAGUUCUGUGACGUCACGAUGGCAAGCUCCUCUCUUUGGCGCCACAGACUCAGAAGCCAGGCAUUUGUCGCCUCCAUCCAGUCUCUCGACGCUGCGGAGUAGUUCACCGCACCUUCAUCGAGUUUAGCAUUCGAGAAGGAAGGUGGAGCGGGGAGAGGAUGGAACACCCAGAGUUUUAAAAUUUUUAAUGUGUCUGUAAGUGUAUGCCCGCGGAUGCAGAACAUAGCAUCGGAUUUCCUUAGGCUGGAGUUAAUCGCACUGCUGGGAAUCAAGCUUAGGUCCUCUGAAAUAAUAGCAAGGGCUCUUAAUUGUCGAACCAUUGCUCCAGACCCCCCACCCAGGCUUUCAAAGAAUUCUGGAACAACCAUAGAAAGCAUAGAUUUCCAGAGUGAGGUUGGUUAAUAGGUGGUUUAGAUAAAGCAGGAGAGAAUCGCUGAAUGGGGGGGCUAUAUCAGAAGUGGUUAACCAUGAGAUGGAGAACAUUCGGAACUGACAACACGCGAAGUCAGAUUUUACAGGUAGAGCCCCUUGGUAGGAUAGAAAGAAGUAUGGUCUGGGAAUGUUACCGAGGGUCAGGGUAGGAUACUUGCCUAGCAGAUGGAAGGCUUAAGUUCAGUAUCUCAGGUUUUGCGGGAGGUGGAGGGGAUAGAGGGACUGGACGGACACGGAGAGGCGGCCCCUUGAAGAACUUUAAAAAUCGAUUGAAAGCCAGAAUCAAUGCCAGAUGUAGCUGGCUCUCAUUUGUAGUCCUAGCUCUAUGGGAGUUUGAGGCAGGAGGAUGGGCUAGAGUUGAAGUAAGGAAGAAAAAAGAUAAAACAAAAGAAUUUACAAAGGACCAUUGUUUGAAAAAAAAAGUUAGUUUGUACUUCAGAAACAUACAGCUCAAAGGGAAGAAAUUUGAUGGGAACCAAGUUAACAGAUGCACGCUUGAGUAAUUCUAAACAACUGCUUAUGGACAGAAAUGGUAGUGAUUGGUACAAAAACAAGCUGCUAAGGUAACAAGAAUUCAGCUGAGAUUGCCUUAAAGAGGCUGGGUGGCGGUGCCUCCUUAACCCCAGCUCUGUGGGCAGAGACGGGAUGGUCUCUUGAGUUCAAGGCCAGCCUGGUCUAGAUAGUGAGACCUUGUGUUUUGGGUUUUGUUUUGCUUUUUAAAUGUCUUAGGGAGCUGGAUUUGUUUGGAAAGAUAUUAUUGUCUGCUUGGUCAGGUAGGGUGCUUGCCCGCAAGCAUGAGGAUGUGGGUUCAAUUUUCGGAAUAUGUUAGAUCCUAGAGGCUCCACCUACAAAGGGAUUCAACCAGGCCUUAUAUCCCAUCUCUACCUUCUCCAGGCAGCUCAAUGCCUGGUAUGUGGCAGCCCCAAAUUAGGGUGGGGCGGUAGGAUUACUUCCCUAAAUUAUGACCUUAAGUCCUAUUUAGUGCCUUCACUAACCUUAGACACCUUCCCCUACAAGAAAAUCUGUUAGUGCAAGGAUUAGCCUUUGUUUUGAGGUUUCUGCAAUGUUCUGGCUUCCCUUUCAGCAAGUGACAGGAUUACUAAAUCUGUCUCAGGACAUCUCUCUACUGAAUCCGAGAAGAAUUUUUUUUAAUAUUUUAAAUAUUAAAAUAUUUUCUGUCUAUGGUGGUAGAAGAACAACUUCCACACAGCAAAUAGAUAAAUGU
rnacentral:lncRNA from 1 species